UUAUGGGGUCUUCGCUGCGAGAUCACAUUCAUCCGGUACUAUACCAGCUGCACUGGCUCCCGGUGGAGUACAGGAUCAGGUUUAAGGUGCUGGUUUUAACCUUUAAAGCCCUAUACGGCCUAGGACCCUCGUACCUACGGGACCGCCUCUCCUGGUAUGCCCCACAGAGGAACCUACGGUCUGCAAAUAAAAACAUCCUGAAGGUCCCAGGCCUCAGAGAGGUUAGGCUGGCCUCAACUAGAGCCAGGGCUUUCUCGGCUGCGGCUCCAAUCUGGUGGAACGCUCUGUCACAAGAGACUAGGGCCCUGCGGGACCUGACAUCUUUCCGCAAGGCCUGCAAGACAGAGUUGUUCCACCAGGCCUUUGGUCAGGGCCCAGCCUGACUCCUCCUCUGGCAACCUGCACAGAACUUUGCUUAACGGUUGCCAUUAAUUUGAUUUUAAUUAAUUUUUAUAAUGAAAUGUUUUAGAAUGUUGGAUUAUUUGAUUGUUUGAUUAUUUGUUUGUUGUUAGCCGCCCUGAGCCUGGCUUUGGCUGGGGAGGCCGGGAUAUAAAUAAAAUUUAUUAUUAUUAUUAUUAUUA